CCACCUCGGGGCGCAGCAGUGAGGAAUAUUGGUCAAUGGGCGCGAGCCUGAACCAGCCAAGUCGCGUGAGGGAUGACGGCCCUACGGGUUGUAAACCUCUUUUGUCGGGGAGCAAAUUCCGCCACGUGUGGCGGAGUCGAGAGUACCCGAAGAAAAAGCAUCGGCUAACUCCGUGCCAGCAGCCGCGGUAAUACGGAGGAUGCGAGCGUUAUCCGGAUUUAUUGGGUUUAAAGGGUGCGUAGGCGGACUGUCAAGUCAGCGGUAAAAUACGGGGGCUCAACCUCCGCCCGCCGUUGAAACUGACG
rnacentral:rRNA from 1 species